rnacentral:rRNA from 1 species
GACGAACGCUGGCGGCGUGCUUAACACAUGCAAGUCGAACGGAAAGGCCUCUUUUGGGGGGUACACGAGAGGCGAACGGGUGUGUAACACGUGAGUAACCCGUCCCUGUAAUUGUGAUAACACUUGGAAAAAGGGGCUAUAAUCGGGUAGAAGAUCCUGCUGCACGUUGGGGGUUGGUAAGAUUUGGCGGUUGGGGAUGGAUUCGCGGCUUAUCAGCUGGUUGGUGGGGUAUUGGUUUACCAAGGCUUUGCCGGGGAGCCGGCCCGGGAGGGGGACCGGGCCCAAUGGGACUGAGAGACGGCGCAGACGCCAACGGGAGGCAACAGUGGGGAAUAUGGCACAAUGGGUGGGAGCCGGAUGCAACAACGCCGGGGGCGGGAAGACGGCUUUCGGGUUGUAAACCGCUUUCGCUCAUGACGGAGCUUUGUGUGACGGUAGUGGGUAAAGAAGCACCGGCUAACUACGUG